rnacentral:rRNA from 1 species
GUGGGGAAUAUUGGACAAUGGGCGAAAGCCUGAUCCAGCCAUGCCGCGUGUGUGAAGAAGGUCUUCGGAUUGUAAAGCACUUUAAGUUGGGAGGAAGGGUAGUAACCUAAUACGUUGCUACUUUGACGUUACCGACAGAAUAAGCACCGGCUAACUUCGUGCCAGCAGCCGCGGUAAUACGAAGGGUGCAAGCGUUAAUCGGAAUUACUGGGCGUAAAGCGCGCGUAGGUGGUUCAGUAAGUUGGAAGUGAAAUCCCCGGGCUCAACCUGGGAACUGCGUUCAAAACUGCUGAGCUAGAGUACGGUAGAGGGUGGUGGAAUUUCCUGUGUAGCGGUGAAAUGCGUAGAUAUAGGAAGGAACACCAGUGGCGAAGGCGACCACCUGGACUGAUACUGACACUGAGGUGCGAAAGCGUGGGGAGCAAACAGGAUUAGAUACCCCUGUAGUCC